UACAGAGGGGGCAAGCGUUGUUCGGAAUUACUGGGCGUAAAGGGCGCGUAGGCGGCCUGCUAAGUCGGACGUGAAAUCCCUCGGCUCAACCGGGGAACUGCGUCCGAUACUGGCGAGGCUUGAAUCCGGGAGAGGGAUGUGGAAUUCCAAGUGUAGCGGUGAAAUGCGUAGAGAUCGGGAGGAACACCCGUGGCGAAGGCGGCCACCUGGGCCGACCCUGACGCUGAGGCGCGAAGGCGUGGGGAGCGAACGGG
rnacentral:rRNA from 1 species